rnacentral:rRNA from 1 species
UGGGGAAUUUUGGACAAUGGGCGAAAGCCUGAUCCAGCAAUGCCGCGUGUGUGAAGAAGGCCUUCGGGUUGUAAAGCACUUUUGUCCGGAAAGAAAUCCUUGGCUCUAAUACAGUCGGGGGAUGACGGUACCGGAAGAAUAAGCACCGGCUAACUACGUGCCAGCAGCCGCGGUAAUACGUAGGGUGCAAGCGUUAAUCGGAAUUACUGGGCGUAAAGCGUGCGCAGGCGGUUUGCUAAGACCGAUGCGAAAUCCCCGGGCUCAACCUGGGAACUGCAUUGGUGACUGGCAGGCUAGAGUAUGGCAGAGGGGGGUAGAAUUCCACGUGUAGCAGUGAAAUGCGUAGAGAUGUGGAGGAAUACCGAUGGCGAAGGCAGCCCCCUGGGCCAAUACUGACGCUCAUGCACGAAAGCGUGGGGAGCAAACAGGAUUAGAUACCCUGGUAGUCCACGCCCUAAACGAUGUCAACUAGGUUGUUGGGGAUUCAUUUCCUUAGUAACGUAGCUAACGCGUGAAGUUGACCGCCUGGGGAGUAACGGUCGCAAGAUUAAAACUUAAAUGAAUUGACGGGGUCAUAGCUGUUUCCUG